rnacentral:lncRNA from 1 species
AUGUUAUACAGAGUACUUCUUUCUAAGUACCGUUUGUUUAUUUUUUAAAGUAACGGCUUUAUUGAGAUAUAACUCACAAUGCAAUAAAAUUUACCCUUUUAAAGUAUACAAUUUGUGACUUUUUAGUGAUUUAUUUUGAAACUGAGUGCCAACCAUUGCUGUAUUAUUUGUAGUAAAUCACUAUCAAGCUGAAUUUGAGAUCCUCUCUUUCUUUCCAAGCUCAUCGGCAUAUUAAGCCCAAAAUAUGAAAUGGGAAAUGCAACUUUCCUUGUGCUUUUUCCGGUCCGUAGGCUCUCCGCAGGGUGAGUGGGGCUGUCUGGUUCUGAAAUGGAAUUAUGCGCUACAACUGCUUUGGAAUCUCAGUGCUGUGCUACUGGAUGAGGAGUGAUUUCUUUUAAAUAACUAGUAGUUGAAACUGACUUCCAACUGCUGGAGGUGAUAGAAACUUUUUGACUUUUCCUGAAAAAUUUUAAAAUACGAAAUCUGAAGUGAAAAAGUCUUCUGAGGAGGUGACUGUUCAGGAGUAACUGAAUGUGCACCUGUGACACUGUGUCACCAUCUCUGCAGGAUCCAUUUACAGAGACGAUUUGUGGAGGACUUUAGCCUCCUGCUCAUGGUGUUACUGAAAAAGGAACUGUGGCCAUUUGAUGUAAUUCUGGACAGAAGGCCUGUUGUUUGUGUUGAAUUAGAGGUCAGUAUUUGAAAUUUUCUGUUUUAGUGGAUUUUAUAAGAGGUCCAUAAGAGUAAUGGAUGACUAUGAAAUUAGCCAAAUGCAUAAUUAAAGGUAUAUGACUGUCUGGUUUCUGCUGUGAAUUACUGAGCUGGCAUUUGUUUUUAGAUGCAUAAAACAAGGUAUACACUUGGUACUCUUUCACUUAUAAACUUAAUGGGUUGUGAAAAGGUAUAACUUGGACUUCGUUAAGUGAAGAAGGCGCCCUUCUAAUUUAUCUUUCUCCGUGAAGUUGCACCUGUUUUGUUCAUGAUAAAUACUGGGAGAGGAUUGUUCUAAGUUUAUAGUGAUGAUGUACUUUAUUUGUCCUUAGAUUGUUUCUGACGAAGCUUUUUUCCUCCAUAUUUUCUGUUUUUGCUUGAUUUUUAGAGAAUUAUAGGUUUGAAAUUGUCUCUUUCUUCUCAAAUACAGCAUAUUCCCUUUUCUUCUUCAGUGGUUCCUAGGGGUGUGCAGAAAUGAUGUGUGUAAUUUGAAAAAAGAUUUCAGGAGAAUCUUACUUUCCAUGUACCUGUACUAAUCAUGAAAAGGAAAACUCAAUACUGUUUUUCCGAAAGGAUAGACAAGGUGAUUAAUAUAUAAAAUGUAAUGAUUAUUAUGGAAAUCAUCUGUAAUUUCAGGCCAUAGCUUCUAGGUGUCUGCUCUCAUCUGAGUCUCCUUUCCUUUGGGUGGUGAGUCGUUAGUCAUGGAACAUCUCAGUAUACCCUGGGCUUGUCCAAUCAUUCGGUAGUAAUUUUUUUUAGUGUCUCCUGCAGGGCACUGUACUAGGCCCUGGGAGCACAAAGAUGAGUAAGAUGUGUCCCUGCUCUCACAGAGUUCAUGACCAAAAGGAGGGAACAGAUACGAAUAAAAAUCACUAAAAUACAGUCUGAAAAGAAUUGUAGUAGAAGUAGAAGCAUCAUGCUCUCACAGUGCAGAGUGAGAGGUGUGCGUGCACCCUGCACGUUGACAUGGCGUUUACGGAUUAAAGCAACAGGACAGGACGUCUUUACUCCUUGGUCAAUAAAUUGGUUCUUCAGCCCACCUUCAGACCAGCUGCAUUUAUUGUGGAUGUGUGGCCCGAUGUAACUGAGGUGAGGUUUCCCGUGUCACUAAUAGUUUCUAGGGAGUAGAGGGUUAAAUCUCUUUUUGGAAAAGGUUGGGCACCCUAACCCUGGAUUCUACUGAACCCAAAGUACUUUCCUAUAUGUUUUGUUGACUCUUAAGAACAUUCUCUCAGAGCUUGUAUAAAAAUAAUUUUGUCUUUUUUUCUUGAGCGCCUUCUUUAGAAAAAGAACUCUUUUCAAAUAAAGAAAGAGUCUUAUACCAGAAGGACUUAGAAUUGCCCUUGACCUUCUCUGCCUUGGGAACCAGCAGACAUUUUUUUGUGGACACCUGCUACAUGUGAAUUAGGUGUUGAUCUGGUUUGCAUGUUUUCUUCUUUGGAUGGUGGAGGAACAUAGUAUUUGGUUUUUCAAUUUAUUCUCUCUUGCCAACCUUUUUUCCGUCCUAAGUAAGUAGUAAAGCCUGACUUUUUUUCUUCCUGGAAAAUGGCUUACUUUGUUUUCAGAAAAAUUAAGAUAUCUCUGUAUGGAGGAAUUGAAACAUUGUUUACAAAUAAAUUUAUUAGCAUUUAAAAAAAUGACACAAAAGCACCUUGGGGCUUUAUUAAUUAAAACUAAGCUGUUAGUCUUACCUAUCACCUCCAUAUUUCUCUUACUGGCAUUAAAUCCAUUCAUUUGCCAAAUAGAUUUAUUAUUUAUUUGUAUUGUUAUUUAUUAUUUGCUAGAUGGUGUGGGAGGUACUGGGGAGACUUGCAAUAUGAUGGUGGUGUUUGCUUGCAUUAGGAAUUUUUCCUUUUAUUUAGGAUUUUUUUUUUUGUCGUUCCUUUAACUAUCUUGCAUUAUGAGUAUAUAUACUCUGUUUCCUGUUCCAAAGGAGCACAUAAAUUCAGUCCUAAUAUUGGGGCUUAAACCUAUAUUUCCAGAGAGAAGCAGCUGACACUGAAUUCUGCCUGGCUGAAUCUUCCACUCAGGAUUUAUCAGCCAGCCAACAAGUAUUGGAUGUUUUCCAAGUUUAAUACCAAUAUAAGUGGAAUAUAAAGGAAAUAAAAGUUAUUAUUUUUGGCCUCUCAGUUUAGUAGGCAAGCCUUGCAAGAAUACAACAUUUAGAGAUUUCUAGAACAAAAGUGGAACUACUUAUUCUUUAGCAUAACAAAUAUAGUUCAAAUUCAGAUUAACUAGAGAUUAUCAUGGGUUAAGGAAAUUGGCUAAGGAUUCAUUGAGAAGCUAACAGUGGGGCCUUGAGAAUGGGUGCUGUUUGAAUAGGAACUGGGAGAGAAGGUUAGGACAGUCCAAGCAGGGGUCAGCCUGACUCGAGUGAGUAUGGUAUGCACAGGGUCAAGUAAAGAGAGCCCAGUUGGAGUAAAGAAUCUGUGGGGAGGAAUGGGGUGAGAUAAGUUAGGUAGACCAGUUGAUAGAGGCUUGGAAUGCUAAGCACAGAAUUCCUCUUGGCACCUGAGAGGAUGUGGGGGAGAAGUAAUAAAGUAGCGAGGCAGCCAGAGACCGUGGAGGACUGAGUACUUUUGGCCCCAAAUUUGUAAUGUAGGAAUAGGAAAUAUGCUGGCCAGUCCUGGGAAAGAUGCGUGUUUGCACUUGUGUGCUGUGUUAAAAUUGCUUUCUGUCCCUACUUGCGUUUGGUCAGACGGUAAGAUAGACUGAAGGAAAGAGAAAUAGCCACAGGACAAAAUAGGCUUUUAGAAGUCUAAUUAGUUGGUGAAGUAUCACUGUUAGUUUUUAUUUAGUAUCAUAUUUCAUAAAAAGUAAAAUUUUACCAAAAAUCCUACCACCAAAUAUAGAAGUUAUUUUAGUUUUUUAAAAAAAUCGUAAGUCCUGGUUUACAUAUGGUUCAGUUUCAUCUCUUCUCUUGCCUUUCAUCCCAAAGAUCUGCUCUGUUUCAUACCUCUUUAUCUCUACGCCCACCCCCCGCCCCUCCCCCCCCUUUUUCCUAUCUUCUGUUUAUUCUUCGGAUCUCAGUUAAGGCAUCAUUUCUUCUGGAAGGCCUUUCCUCAGUCAGAGUCAUCCCCAGCUUUGCUUUCCCGUGGCACCUGUACUGUCCCGAGACAUCUCUUGUUAUACUGCGCUGUAAUUGCACGCUCAGCCUCUGCUACCCUGGGAACUCAGAGAGUUUGGGGAUUAGUCUUGUUUACUGUGGAAUCCUUGUCUUCCAGGUCAGGUCAGGCACAUGCCACAUGGUUAGUAAAUAUUUGAGUAAUGUAAAGGUUGGACUUAUUUGUCAUUGUAAUUAAUUUUUUUUUAAACUUAAUGUCUUUGAAACACUUUUAUGCUUUUAUAUACUCAUAAUUAUUAUUUAUUAUGGUUGUAUUAUGUUUUUUAAUGUAUAUAUUUCUUAACUUAAGUAUUUUCCUGUUAUUAGGCAUUUAGGUUGUUUCUAUUAUUCUUUUUCCCACUAUAGUACUACUACCAUAAGCUUUCUUGUACAUACUGCACUUCUUUUUAAUACUUUUAAAUUAAAAAUGAUAAAGAAAAGUCAUACAGAAAGCACGUAUUUACUUUAAAAAAGAGGUGUGUGUGUUUGUUUAUAUAUUGUGUCUAACUUCAUAGUGAGUGGCCAAGAAAACAUUUGUUUUUGCCUAGAUUUCAUUUUGAACAAGGAAAAUAUGCCUCCAUUCUUAUUCAAACUAAACAAAUUAUAAAAUGAAGCCACUGUGGUGUUUAGACAGGGGAGAGACACUGAUCCGGUGUCCGGCGAGUAUUGUUUUAAGGAUGGUAUUUGGGGACAGCUUCUCUGAAGAGGUGACAUUUGAGCAAGGCCUUGAAUAGGGUAAAGAACCAUACAGAGAUCUGAGGAUAGAGCAUUUCAGACAGAGGGAACACCAAGUGCCAAAGUCUGGAAUUGAGGGCCUGCUGGCGUGGUAAAGGAACAGUGGAAAAGCACUGGAGAGCAGUAGGAGGUGAGGUCAGAGGGAGAGGCAGAGGCCGGGUCUUGCAGGUCCCUGCAGACCACAGUAAGGCCUCUGGCUUCUAUUCUAAGUAUAGAGGAAUGCCAGUGGAAGGUUUUGAUCAGGGGUGUGACAGGAUCUGAUUUCUCUUUUAAAAAGAUCCCUCUGGCUGCUGUGUCAAAAUUGGACUGCUGCCGGUCAGAGUGAAGGUGGGGAGACUGGUAAGGAGGUUAUUGCAGGAAUUCAGGUGAGACAAGAUGGGGGCUUGGAUAGGGUGGGGGCAGAGGUGAUGAGAGUGGUCAGGUUUGGGAUUUGGUGAAAUGCUGUGUCCUGAGAGAUGAAAAUUUUACCACUAGUUAACGCAAACCUCUAGUUGGAUAUGAGUUAAUAGUGUUUAAAAUGCCUUUCUCUUCAGAGUAUUUGGUAGAUUUUGUAUCCUUGAAAUUAGCUAGUCAAGUGGGGAAAGGAACCAGGAAAGGUAAGGGCUGAGACUUGAUUGUAUUGUUAAUCUGUUUGCUGAUGGGACAGGAAAGAUCCCAUCACAGCAGAGGCACGAAUUUUCAUCUGUAAUGGUCAUUUAUUUAAUGUAAAAGUAUGUCUGGGGGCCAGCCCGGUGGCCGCUUUGAUGGCCCAGGGUUCCCUGGUUCGGAUCCCGGGUGCAGACAUGGCACCACUUGGCACGCCAUGCUGUGGUAGAUGUCCCACAUAUAAAGUAGAGGAAGAUGGGCAUGGAUGUUAGCUCAGGGCCAGUCUUCCUCAGCAAAAAGAGGAGGCUUGGCAGCAGCUAGCUCAGGGCUAAUCCACCCCCCCACCCAAAAAGUAUGUCUGCAGAAUGUAUGCUUGUAUACAUUUUAUAUAUAUAUAUUUUAUGAAUUCUGGUGAUUAGUGUAGUUGUGUUCAGCUAGACCUGUUUAGUAUUAACUGUGAAAUAAGUUGCAGCAGUAAGGAAUGCAGUGGGUGCCUUUCUCCUGUUAUAAAAAUCCGUUAACAAGUUUUGUUGUGCUUGACUGCUUUUCAUUGUUAUGCUCUAUGGUUCAUACAAAAGCUGUAGAUGUAAAUGACUUCUAUUUGACAAUGGUUUCUCAAGCCCUUACAACCAAUGAUGUUGUAUUUUGAGUGAACAUCUGUUUACUCCAUAGUAAUGAUAGUUGCUAGACAGGUUACAGUUUGCUUUGGUUCUACUCCCCUACUUUGCCUAGGAUUUGAGCCUGGUGGGAAAAAGUAUUUGACAAUGUUCUUGAGCUUUGUGAAACUACAUUGGCUUAUGUGUAUGCUCCACAGUGAUGGCUGCUCUUCUUUAUUACUUUAGCUAUAGAGAGACAUUAGCCUAGCCCAGAGACACCUUUAGUGUAGAAGGUCCUGUGAAAAGUGAGCGAAGCCACUUCUCAAGCUACUAAAUUGGAUUGUCUUUUCUUUUUUUAAAUUUGGUUUUGGGAGUAUGAAAUUUAAGCUUAUGGUAAUCUGCCAUUUGCAGGAUGCAAGAUAUUCUCAUGGUGUUGAGUGUUUAUUGGUUUUUGUUUGCUUUUUCUUUUUAAGGUUGGGGUCUUUUAAGAUAGAGUUUUAGAAUCUUCUUUUUCUUAGCCACUUAAAGAUUUAGAACAAAGGUUUAGAAACUUUUUUUGGGUAGCAGGUCACUUUAGUAAUCUGAGGAAAGCGUAGACUCCUUUUCCACAAAAAGACACAUGCACAUCCAUCCAACAAAUUUAUUCAGCUUGUGUUUUUCAAAUGGCUACUGUCUGCCAGGCAUAGUUACAGAUGUUUAGGAUACGUCAGUGAACAAAAUAGGAAAAACCCCCACAAAAACAGGGAAACUCUGCACCUGUGCAACUUAUAUUCUAGCGGAGUCAGCAAGAAGUAAAGAUAAUAAUUAAGAAUAUUAUGCAGUAUAUUAGAAUAUGCUGUCAAAAAACUAGAAUAUGAAAGGGAAGGAGGAUGGUAGUUGUUGCGAUUUAAAUAAGGGCUUUAGGGUAGCCUAAUAGGGCGAUAUUGGAGCAAAAGGUUAAAGAUGGUGCAGGAGUUGGCCAUGUGGAGUUCUGGGGUUUGAGUAGGCAGAGCGGCGUAGCCAGUACAAAGGCAGGAACAAGGAAGACAACAUGGUUGGAGCAGGAUGAGCAAGGGGAAGAGUGGUGUGUUAGUUUCCAGGGGCUGCUGUAUCAAAGUAGCACAGACUGGGAGACUUAAAACAACAGAAAUUUAUUCUCUCGUAAUUCUGGAGGCCAGAAUUCUGAAAUCGAGGUGUUGGCAGGGUUGGUUCCUUCUGGAAACUCUGAGGGCGUAUCCUUUCCGUGCUUCUCGCCCAGCUUCUGGUGGCUGCCAGCAGUCUUUGGUAUUCCUUGGCUUGUAGACUCAUCACUCCAGUCUUCUGCUUCUGUCUUCACUUCUCCGUUUCUGUCUCUUCUUCCUCUACCUGUCAUUGAUUUAGGGCCCACCCUGAAUCUCGGAUGAACUCAUCUUGAGCUCCUUAACUUAAUUAGAUCUUCAAAGACCAUUUUUUCAAGUGAGGUCACAUUCUCAGGAACUGGUGAUUAGGACUUAUCUUUUUGGAGACUACCAUUCAUUUAUAUUGACUCCUAAGAUAGGUGCAAAAUGUAGUAUGUGCUGGUAAGGGGGUGGAGGCAAGUUGGAUCUCUGGUGCCCUUGGCGUCCUAUUAAGGACCUUGGCUUAAGUUCAGUUAGGAAGGUAUGGCAAGAUUUUGAGCAGAGAAGUGACAUAUGACUUGCAUUUUAAAAGGAUAACUCUGCUGUGUUGACAAUAGACUGGCGCAAAAGGGUAAAAAUAAGGAGAGAGGUAGGAGGCUAAUGUAAUAAUAAUCCAUGCGAGAAAUUAUGGUGGCUCAGACCAGGGUAGUAGUGGUGAGGGUAGUGAGCAGUGUUUGGCUUCUAGCUUUGAAGGUAGAGCCACAGUGUUUUCUGAUGAAUUUUGACGUAGGGUAGGGUUGAAAGAGAGGAGUCAAGAAUGGUUCCAAGGUUUUGGGACUGAGCAACUGGAAGGAUGGAGUUGUCGGGAACAUAUGGGAAGGCUGUGGUUAGAGUAGGCUUUUUGGGGAAGAUCAGAGCUUAGUUUUGCCACACUAGAGCUUAAGGUAGAAGGAAAUUGCCAAACGGAGAUGCCAAAUAUAUAGUUUUAAACAGUGGAAGAGUCUGGAAUUCAAGUGAGAAACCUGGGUUGGCAAAUGUGUGGUAAUUAAAGCUGGGAAAUUAGAGGAGAUCACCACAGGAGUAUAGAGAAGAGAAAAGGUCCAGGAACUAAGCCGUCAGACAUUAAAAGGUCUCAGAGAACAAUCGGCAAUAAAAAUUGCUGAGAAGAGAUCAGCAAAAAAGGAAAAUCAAGAGACUGGAGAUGUCAAGCAGAUGGCAUCCUUGAAGCCAAGUGAAAAAAUGUAUCAGGCAGGAGAGGAAGAUGAUCUUUGUCAAAAAUCUGCUAAAUCAGGUAAGAUUAGGACUGAGAAUUGAUCAUUGGAUUUACCACUGUGGAGGUCAGAGGUGAUCUUGACAAGUUAGUUUCAAUGGAGUGUUUGGGUCAAGAGCCUUCCUGGAGUGAGUUUAAGAGAGAAUGAAGGGAGAAUUUGAGAGAGUGAAUAUAGCACCUUUUUGGAGACUAUUUGCUGUAAAGGAGAAUAGAGAAAUGGUAGGUAGUAAAAAUUUAGUGAAGACUUUUUUUUAAAGACAGGAGAAAUCACAAUAUAGAAAUAUCUUAUGGCCUCAAAAUUUUGUAUAAUUUCAGGGGAUUAAUGGGUCCCCUGAAUCCUUCCAUGAACCUGCAGUUUAGAAAUACCUGACCUAAACCUUGUCAGUAAAAUCAUGAGGCAGCAACUUCACUUCCUCCCUUGAGAUUUCUCCUUUAUAUUAAGAGUUUGUAUGGUCUGGUAAUUAGAGCACAAAAAAUGAGAAUUCCUAAAUGUUUUCAAUUUUCUGUAUAAGGAGUAGGCCUUGGUGCCAAUCACUUACCUUACAUACAAAAAAAUCAUUUACACCUAGUACUUACCCAGACACUAUUCUGUAUGAAUUUAUAAUCUUUGUAACAAUCCUUUGCAAUUGGGUUUAUUGUCCCCAUUUUACGUGGUGGGGAAAUGGAGGUACAGAAAGGUUCAGUAACUUGCCCAAAGUCACCCAACUAGGAAGUGGCACAGUCAAGUUUUGAACCCAGACAGUCUGGCUGCAGAAUCUUUGCUCCUAACCACUGCUUCGUCUCAUGGUUCUUUAGUUGUGGGUGCUAAUAGUAUGUGUGUGUGUGUAUGGUGAGGAAAGUGGGAUGGAGGUAGGUAUCGUAGGGCAAAUGAUGCUUUUGGGAAGUCUUUGAGAUUUUCAUCUGAAAGAUUCUGUAAAAGAGAAAACGUUGUCCUCACAGAUUUGUCCUAGGUGAUAUAUAAUGAAUAUAGUAAGAUGAUGAUAGUUUUUAUUCCAAGGAUUGAGAACAGCUGCUUUUCUUCCAGCAGAUUGGUGAGCAUACUAUUCCAUUGUAUAAGAGUUGCUGGCUGGCACAGAGAUCUACAUUUUCUAUUUUCAGCGGGUGAAAUUGCUCCCUCUCCACCUGUACUUUAUUUUCUGGUUCCUUUGACAGUAGGGCUUGAUAUUUUGGUGUACCCUGGAUUGCAUUGUUCUUUUGGGUCAGAUGACCUAAAUUACUGGCUCUGCUUAUUGUAGAGUGGUUCAAGUAUGCCUUUGGGGCCCUAGAGUUAAAGUGGAUGAUUCUGAGUCAGUGUGGCUUGAAGAGCAUAUUGCUAAGAAACUCCUGGUCUGGUUGGGUAGCGCAGAUUCCAUUUGAUUUAGUACAGGUUGCAUACCCCUUUUCUCUAUCACGCAGUCAGUCUGCUUUCUGAAGUAACUCAGGUUUGGUGUUCUCCCUGUAAUCUCUACUCAAGAAGAGGGGAAGACUAGUACACAUGUGGGUAAUGGAGCCCAGAUAGAUCAUCAUUUACCCCAAAGCACAAGUCAAAUUAGUGACUGAAUUGACAUUGGAAUCCAAUUUUCUUAAUGUCUAGGUUAAUGCUUUAAAAAAAAGAAUGAGUUAUUUUAAAAAAAUAUAAGCACUUCCAUGCAAUUAUAUGAUUUUCAUCAUUAUGAUGAAUGCGUAAUGUGUCGUAAUGUUUUCUGUCUUUUACUAUUGGAGGUAACACUGCAUGAAUUUUUUUUUCCAUUCAGUAAAUAUUGAGUGCCACAGUUCUAGGCACUGAGGAUAUUGCAGUGAAUGAAUAGAAGAAAAUCUCUGCUUUCAUGGGGCUUAUGUUAAUAAGUAUCUUCUCUUAGUUACAGUUAUUUCCUUAGGAUAGAGUAUAAAUGAAUUCUGAUAUUACAAAUAAAACUUCCAGUAACUGCAUUUCUAAACACCAGAACAAACUUUCUUUUAAACUCUAUGCAAAAAAUGAAGUCGUCUACACUAUUUUCUUUGAUUAAAAUGUAUAGUAUUUGCCCCUUACAAACAAAUGCUAUCAAAAAUUAAAAGGAAUAGGGACCUCUAAAAAGAAGUGUUUUAAGUAUCAUCACUUCUUGAUAAUUAAAGAACUUGGUUAAUUGCUUUUUUCCACUAAUCAGCUAAAAUGUAUAAAUAGGUCUUGUGAUUUUUGGCAUAGCUGGGAAUUUUUUCAGUCAAUUUAUUGUAAAUUUAACUGCUGAGAUCUAUAUUAAAGUAACAUUUCAGGUUGUAAAGUUGAUUAGUAAUUUCUCAUGCCUUGCACCAUCCUGCUUUCAUUUUUAGAAAUUCUCUAUAGACUUGGCAACAUCUUUAAUAAAUGUAGGUGACUUGGCUAGAUGGCAUUAGAUGUGAUCCAGUAUGCUCUGAGACAUUCUCUUUGAACUUGUUCACUUAAAGUGAAGUGUGCCUAUGCUUUGUAACAAAGAAAUAGUCCUUUAAAAAGGUUAGAACUAGGGGCUGGCCCCGUGGCCGAGUGGUUAAGUUCGCGCGCUCCCAUGCAUCGGCCCAGGGUUUCGCCAGUUCCAGUCCUGGGCGCGGACAUGGCACCGCUCGUCAGGUCAUGCUGAGGCGGCAUCCCACAUGCCACAGCUAGAAGGACCCAUAACUAAGAAUACACAACUAUGUACUGGGGGCCUUUGGGGACAAAAAGGAAAAAAAGAAAAUCUUUAAAAAAAAAAAGAAAAAUUAUAACUAAAUCUGAGGAUGAAAGAAAGUAGAUGACUUGUUCAAACUGCACAUAAAGAAACAACUUCCUAUAGCUGAAUACAGCAGAGAAACUUUAAGACAACUGUUUGUGCAGGGUGAUCACAAUGAGAAUUAUUUUCAUACUUUGUCUAACAGUAUGUACGUUAGAUAAAUUUUAUAUAAUGGCUCAUACUUGAGGUGAAUCAGUUCUUGGCUGUUUGCUUAGUAUGGUGAAUAUAAGAAAGGGUUGGAGAAAGAGGAAAGGUCUAGCUGCUGUGUUAUCUCAUUACUUCUGGUAAUCCAGUCAUCAAGAGGGGUAUUAUUCUUGAUUUCCAGGUGAGGAAAUAGAGAUUGAGAGAGAUCUCACCACUGAUUAUAUCAGAUUUGGGGUUCAAACCUAGGUCUGGGUAGUUGAAGCUCUUUCCAUGCCAUACACCUUUCCUUAAAAUUACGACAUAUUUUGUUUUAGAGUGAUCUGUCUGAAACUAUAUUUUUCUUUAAUUUCAUUUAGAAAAUAAAUAUUCAUUCUCUUCUGUUUUAUUUUCCCAUUUUAUUGAUAUUUUCCUUCAAGAAGUUCUAAAAUUGGAACUUAAGUCCUUCUCUUUUCUUUUUUCUCUACUUUCACUGUUCCGUUAUUAAAUUUUAAUGGUAUAAAACAUAAGAAAAUAUACAAUGACACUUGAUUGUGUGUUUUUUUCUAGGAGGGCAAAGAGAAUAUCUAAGUUUCUUAGAUAAAUCAAACCUUCCAGAAAUUGAAAGAACCAUAUAACUUACUGUUUUAAGUAGGUUGCAGUGUAAAAUGUUAGUAGAUAAAAUAUUGAUAACUUCCUUUCUUGCUCCACUUAGAAUUCCUUCAAAGGUUGAAGUGCUUAUUGGCUUCACUCAGAAUAAGUAGUUCUAAUUUUUGACUUUGAUACUAUUUUAACAUUCAGUAAAAGAGAAUGUAUUUAAGGGGAAGAUCAAAUAUUGAUGGUGCUUAGAGGGAGGAAAGAGGAAAACUCAUUUUUCAAAUUUGGUAAAUUGUGCAUUACAUACUUAAAUAGAAUGAGACAGUCUUGGGGAAAGUACCUGAUAACUUCAGGUGAAUGAAAAAAUUUAGAAAGUUACGGAGCCAUUUAAAGUGAAAGCAAUUGAGGAAAUUUAUGUAAGAAAUAGUUUGUGAAAAUAGAAUAUAUUGUAUUAGUGAUAAGCAGGUACUAAGAACUUUGGGAUUAUUGCAGUGAGUAUGAAAACUGUGUACCAAUUUGAUAUUUACUUAAAUCAUAUGUUGAAGUUAUUAACAAUGUUUUCAACGGAAAGAUUUCUCAGUUAAGCAAAAGUUUAGCUUUGAUUUGAGAGGCAGUGUGACAUGAUGGUUAAGAGCACAGACUUAGGAUUAAAUCACAGCUCUGCCAAUAGUGGCUUUAUAUUAAUGAGCAGUUAUUUAACUUCUCUGGGCCUGUUUCCUCAUCUAUAAAAUAGGGAUAAUAAUAGUACCUAUCUAGUAGGAUUGCUGUGAGAAUUAGAUGAGUUAAUAUAUACAAAGCAUAAGCCAUGAAAGAGGUCAAAUAUUCCAAUGUUUAUCGAACACCUACGGUGUAUAUUUGAUGUUAGGUGCUGAAAAAUACAGAUGUGGGAAAGAUGUAAAAAGAGCUGACAGAAGAGAUGAAUAUUAUGAGAGGAGAUAUGACAAUUAGAUAGAGCACACACAUGAUUAAUUUUGUUUUACUAGAAUAAUGAAAUAGUUUUGAGGAAAAGCAGGAGAUGGGGGUUGGACAAUUUGAAUGUUAAAAUACAUAUCAAGGGGCUGGCCCCGUGGCCAAGUGGUUAAGUUCGCGUGCUAUGCUGCAGGCAGCCCAGUGUUUCGUUGGUUCAGAUCCUGGGCGCGGACAUGGCACUGCUCAUCAAACCACCCUGAGGCAGCGUCCCACAUGCCACAACUAGAAGGACCCACAACGAAGAAUAUACAACUAUGUACCGGGGGGCUUUGGGGAGAAAAAGGAAAAAAAUAAAAUUUUAAAAAAAAAUACAUAUCAAUACUGGAGCAAUUCUGUGAUUAUCUCUUUGAGACGAUGAGGUAAAGCAUGAUUCUCAUCUGCGUAAUAGAAUAAUAAUUCUGGUUUGAUUCUUUUCUUUUAAGUCAUUGAAGUAAGUUGGGUUGGGUAUAGUUUUUAAAUAGUUUACCAAAAUGAAGGGGGAAAUAUGAAAUUCCUAGAGUCAGCAAGUAUAAGCCAGAGUAAGUAAAAGCGAAAUCUGAAAGAUGCUGACAGGAAGAAAACAGAGGAUCAAAGGAUGAAAGGUUCUCUUGAGGCCAGAGGACAAAUGUAUCUGAGUAUUCAGGAUUCCUGGGGGCUGUGGUCAGAGAAUGGAAUGCCUUGAAUUGAUCCUUUCAGACAUGGAGCAAGUUGUGGCUGUGUAAAUGAGUGGCUUUGUGGAGUGAAGGUAGAGGUCAGUGGAGAUGAGGAUACCUCGGAACCAGGCACCUGGCUGUUAGAUGGGUAUCCUCUUGUUGCCAUCACCCUGAUUAUGGUAGGACCCAGGUGAGAAGGAGGACUAUGAGCAGAUGUCAAAGACUUCUGUAAAUGAGGGGAAGUACCACUCAGGGAUUGUUCUAUUCACACUGUGGCAUUUCUUUUGUGUAAUUUCCCUUUCUCUUUAUCUCAUUGUAUUUGAAUAUCAUUGAUAUCAUAUGUAUAUACUGUUUUGUAACUUUAAAGAUAUCUUUGUUUUCCUUACUAAGUAAAAUGGUAGUAGAUGUUCAUUGUAUAAAAUCAGAAAAUAGGGUUAAAAGGAAGAAACUAAAAAGCAUCCCUAGAUAACUAAUGGUAGCUAUUUGUGAUAUACUCUUCCAGACCUUUUUCCUGCAUAGGCUGUAUAAAUACAUUUAAAAAAUGGUAUCGCAUUAGAUAUAGUUUUGCAAUUACUACGUAUUCAGUAAAAUACAAGUAUUUUCUUCUCAUUCAGUGUCAAUAAAUAUACUUUCAGGAUUAUUUUUAAUGACUGUAUAGUGUUCUGUUAUAUGAAUUUGCUAUAAUUUACUGAGUCUGAUUAUUAUCUAGCAUUUCUGACAUCUGCUGUUUUCCUCACCCAAUUGUAUAUUGUAUCUUUAAUAUGGUUUAUAAUGGUUGCAUAGUGUUUUGGUGCUUGGAUGCACUGAGAGUCCACAGUAGUGAAGGGUUGUUUUUAACCCCUGAUCUUAUUGGUGCAUAAUUUAUGGAGGCCAAUUCAACUGUGUAGUAGUUAUGGCCACACACAUUAACAUUUUAUCUGUAGUCUGAACUCCCAGGGUUUUUGGAGUUGUUCUUUUUGCAGGAGAGGAAGUUGACCAUGUCAUCUUAGGUCUUUGUGCCAUUUUCUGGACCAGAAGAUUUGUAUUAAAGAUGUUGGAUGCUUAACAAUUUGGAAUUUAUUUUGCUAUGUUUACAGUAAGAUAUUCGCAUUUGUUUUUUUUUGUUAGUUAAGCAUUAAAAGCCAAAUUAGGCAUUUAAAUGUUAUGACAGGGGCCGGCCCCAUGGCCAAGUGGUUGGGUUCCCGUGCUUUGCUUCAGCAGCCCAGGAUUUCGCUAGUUCGGAUCCUGGGCGAGGACAUGGCAUGGUUUGUCAGGCCAUGCUGGGGCGGCAUCCCACAUGCCACAACUGGAAGCACCCACAACUGAAAAUACACAACUAUGUACCGGGGGGCUUUGGGAGAAAAAUAAAAUCUUAAAAAAAUAAAAUGUUAUGAGAAUCAUGACAGUAACAUGAAUUGCCUUGCAUUUUCUUGUGUGAUGUCCUUUGGAACAGUACAUGUGUUUUGCAGAAUGCUUUGACCGAAAAUAUUUACACAGAAAAUGAGCUUAUAGUAUGAACACAUUGAAAAAACUAAUUUAUCACCCCUAAAAUAAAUCUCAGUGCCUACAGCAUCCAAGGACUCCUAAAAGCUGAUUCUAAAGUUAGAAUUGGACUGGAAAGACUAUUGACUUUUUUCACAUGACUUCUUCAAAGGACUUUUCUGAAAUGAAUCUUUUAGUUAUUUGUUAACUUGUUUGUUGUUUGCACAUGACAUCCCUGUACACAUCAGAAAGCAAGCCUUAAUUGUAUUCAGUUAAAAAUUGUUAAGUGAAUGAAUGAAUGAUGUUAGAUCUGUUUUCAAUCCAUUUAAGUUACUAAAGAAUUGACUUUUUUUUUUUUUUUUUAAGAUUUUAUUUUUCCUUUUUCUCCCCAAAGACCCCUGGUACAUAGUUGUGUCUUUUUAGUUGUGGGUCCUUCUAGUUGUGGCAUGUGGGACGCCACCUCAGCAUGGCUUGAUGAGCGGUGCCAUGUCUGCGCCCAGGAUCUGAACCAGUGAAACCCUGGGCCGCCGGAGCGGAGCGCACGAACUUAACCACUCAACCACAGGGCCGGCCCCAUGAAUUGAUUUUCCAGAUACAUGUGAGUAAAAUGAAAUGAGGCAAGGAGAUUUAGCUGGGCCGUUCUGGUGAUAUAGAAGGAUAAUCUGGGAGUCUUGCUUUUCCCUAAAUAGUAUUCUUCCCUCUAAGUCACCUAGGUAACAAAUACAACUCUACCAUUUUUUUUUUUUAAAGAUUUUAUUUUUCCUUUUUCUCCCCAAAGCCCCCGGUACAUAGUUGUGUAUUUUUAGUUGUGGGUCCUUCUAGUUGUGGCAUGUGGGAUGCCGCCUCAGCGUGGCUUGAUGAGCGGUACCAUGUCCGCGCCCAGGAUUCGAACUGGCAAAACCCUGGGCCACUGAAGUGGAGCACGCGAACUUAACCACUCGGCCACAGGGCCAGCCCACAACUCUACCAUUUUGACCAUCUCAACUGUUGGAUGUUUUCCUAAGUCUUGGUUGUGAAAUUGUAGUUCUUAUUCUGGUGCUACUUUGAUGUAUGUAAGAUGGCACUGUGCAAUAGAAAUUAUAAUGUGAGCUUUAACUAUGAGCCACAUAUGUAAUUUAACAUUUUCUAGUAGCCACAUUAAAAGAAAGAUAAAGCAGUGAAAUUAAUUUUAACAAUAUAUUUUAUUUAACUCAGUAUGUUCAAAAUAUUAUUUAAACAUGUAAAUAAUAUAAAAAUUAUUAAUUUUUACUUUAUUUUUUUCAUACCAAGUAUUUGAAAUCCAGUGCAUUUUACACUUACACCUCACUUUGGAUUAGGACAUUGCAAGUGCUCAGUAGCCACAUGUGACUAGUGUCUACCAUAUUGUACAAUGCAGAUCUAAGGAAUCAUUUAAAAACAAAACUGUGAACCAAAAUACUGAUAACCAAAAAACUGAUAAUAUAGGUGACGGCAAAGAUAUCCAUCUUGCAGUCUUUCUGAGGAUAGCUUAAUAGUGUUUUUUUUUAAAGGUUAUUUGGUACAGAUAGGUUCAUAUAACAGUAGUAAGAUUUUGCUGCAGGCUGGAAUUUAUGCAUUGAAUUGGUGAAGAGUUUAACCAGGAUAAUAAAAAUGUGUUACUAUAGAUUUUCUAAAAAUCCAGGAACCCUGAAGCUUGGUCACAUCUAGUCCUUCCUUUUUAAAUAAUAAAAAAAAAGUGGAUGGAGAGGAUCUAACUAUAUCUAACAUGGCACCACUCAUCAGGCCAUGCUGAGGCGGAGUCCCAUAGAGCGCAACCUGAGGCAUUCACAACUGGAAUAUACACCUAUCUACUGGGGGGCUUUGGGGAGAAGAAGAAGAAGAAGAAGAAGAAAAAGAUUGGCAACAGUUAUUAGCUCAGGUGCCAAUCUUUAAAAAAAAAUAAAAAGAAUUGUAUGUAUUAAAGGUGUACAGUUUGAUGAUUUGAUAUAUGUAUACGUUGUGAAAUUGGAGCUAAUUAGCAUUCACAUCAGAUAGUUACCCUCUUAGCAAAUUUAAAAUAUACAAUAAAGUAUUGUUAACUAUAGUUACAUCUUUGUACAUUUCUGGAAAUAGUUUUCUUUUUUCUUCUCCUUUUGUUUUUUUGAGGAAGAUUGGCACUGAGCUAACAUCUGUUGCCAGUCUUCCUCUAUUUUAUGUGGGAUGCCGCCACAGCAUGGCUUCAUGAGAGGUGUUAGGUCCGCACACAGGAUCCGAACCUGUGAGCCCCAGACCACCAAAGCAGAACGUGCAAAUUUAACCACUAUGCCACUGGGCCAGCGCCUCGAAAUAUUUUUCACUCAACAAAUAUUUGUUACUGAGUAUAUAUAAAUAUAAAACAGUUGAGGCCCCUGCCUUCAUGAAACUGAUAGAGAUGACAGCUGUUUGCAUUUUGGUGUCUUUUCCUCCAAUCUCUUUUUCUAGUCAUAUGUAUUAGAAAAUUGAGAUUUUUUUAUAUACAUAGUUUUAUAUCUUUUCCUAAAGCAGCAUUUGCAGCAUUAACAAUUUCUCACAGUAUUAAAGUCUUUGAAAACCUUAUUUUAAAGGGCUUCCUACUAUUUUUCUUUUAUUUUAAAAGUAAUGUAUGCUAAUUAUAAACUUUACAUAUACAGAAAUGUGUAAUUUAGCCAGUAAAAGUCUCUAAUAGUUCUAACCUCUAAAAUGAUAACUGUUAAUAGGUUGGUGUACUUUAUUUCUAACUUUUUCUAUAAAAAUAUAUAUACUGUAUGCCUUUUCUUUUUUUUUUUCUUUUAAAGAUCAUCUUUAUUUCUUUUUCUCCUUUUUCUCCCCAAAUCCCUCAGUACAUAGUUGUAUAUUUUAGUUGUGGGUCCUUCUAGUUGUGGCAUGUAGGACGCAGCCUCAGCAUGGCCUGACGACUGGUGCCAUGUCCACACCCAGGAUGCGAACUGGUGAAACCCUGGGCCGCCAAAGUGCAGUGCAUGAACUUAACCACUCGGCCAUGGGGCUGGCCCCUUUUCUGUGUUUUUUAAUUAAGAAAAAUGGUGAUGUACUUUACAUACUGUACUGUAACUUACCUUUUUUACUUAACUAGGAAUCUUGAACAUUUUUCCAUAUUGGUACACACAUAUAGGCUAUCUAUUUUUUAAUAAUUAUAUUCUGUAGUAUAGUGCGUUAAUGUUGUAGUUUAACCACUUACCUAUUGAGGGAUGGUUAGGCUCUCUAGUUUUUUGUUAUUAUGAACGAUGUUGCAGUUAGCCUUGUCAAUAUUUUUACAUAAGCUUGUGAAUAUUUUUGUAGGAUAAAGUCCUAAAAGUGGAAUUACUGAGUCAAAAAUUAGGUGCAUUUUGCAUUUUAAUAGAAAUUGCUAAAUUAGCCUCCAAAAGGGUUGUACCAGUUUACCUUUCUAUGGGCAGGACAUUAGCCAUAGGUGUUGAAGAUGCCACGUUUAUUGAGUGCUUGCAGUGUGCUAUCAGCGUCACUGGAAUCCUCCCCACAGCCUUCAGGAAGUAAAUGCUGUUAUUUCUCUAGAUGAGGAAACUGGGGACACAGCUAGUAAGUAGUAGGGUUGCAAGUAAACUGAGGCAGUCUGCUUACCAAGCCUGUGCUCUCAAUCAUUAGGUGACAUUUCCUCUAAGAUCUAGGUUUCACCAAAACAUUCACGGCUACUACAGUGUUGAAAAUGUAGUUUUGCCUUAUUGAGAAAGUAAAGCCAUAAUUAUCUGUAAUCCAUGGAGAAUGACCCCUUCUAGUCUACUAUAAUUUUUUUUUUUGCUGAGGAAAAUUUGCCCUGAGCAAACAUUUUUGCCAGUCUUCCCCUAUUUUGUUUGUGGGUCAUUGCCACAACAUGGUUGCUGACUAGUGGUGUAGGUCUGCGCCUGGGAUCUGAUCCCACGAACCCAGGCUGCUGAAGUGGAGUGUGCCGAACUUAACCAGUAGGCCACGGGCUGGCCCACCAGUCAACUGUGUUUUUUAAAAAAUUAAGUACCCACUGUAUGUCAUGUACUGUACCUUGCAACAAAACCUUAGUUAAUCUUCACAAUAAUCUUCUAAGGUGAGAGUGUCCGUUCCAUCACAGUGAAGAUGCUUCUCAGUGGUACCAACUCUUUGUACUAUAGAAAAUAGAAACUUUUUUUUUUUAUUAAUGUUAUGAUAGAUUACAACCUUGUGAGAUUUCAGUUGUACAUUUUUGUUAGUCAUGUUGUGGGUACACCACUUCCCCCUUUGUGCCCUCCCCCCACCCCUCCUUUUCCCUGGUAACCACCGAGCAGAUCUCCUUAUCAAUAUACUAACUUCCACCUAUGAGUGGAGUCAUAUAGAGUUCGUCUUUCUCUGACUGGCUUAUUUCGCUUAACAUAAUACCUCGAGGUC